UAAGAUCUUUAUCUCUCUCCUUUGAUUGCUCACUAUUUCCCCUCUUCUCUAUGACUCUUUUUCUCUCUUCAACAAACACCAAUUCAUAGGAUUUUUUAAGAUAAAAUUUUCUAGAUCUUGAAGAAAGAUACUUGUUGCAAGUUUCAAUUAUAAAGAGAGAAGAUGACACCGUCAUCUGAAGGGAGGUACAAUUUGUAUAGUCAAGGUAGUAGUGGAUGGACAUCAAUGAGGAAUGAUGAAUUUCAAGAAGAAGAAAUUUGGGGAAAUUUCACCGAUGAAAAACGCGAAUUUGGUUCAAAUUUCAGCAGAAACAAAGAGUCGUCACCAAUUUUCAGUCCUAGGAGGCUUCCCACCGCAGCCAAAAUGAUCCAGAGAUCGAGUAAGAGUUCAAUUCAGGAACCUAAAAUAACUCAAUAUUCAGCUCCAGUAAACGUACCCGAUUGGUCAAAAAUUUAUGGGACAAAUUUCAAAAAAAACUUGUCACGCGAUGAUGAUAAUGAUGAUGAUUGUGAUGGCAGAAGACAUAAUUUGGUGAGAAAUAGUUCAAAAUUUGAUGAAGAGAACGAUGAUGAUGACGAUGAUGAAGGCGAAAUGAUGCCUCCACAUGAAUGGAUUGCUAAAAAACUUGAAAGGAGUAAAAUAUCUUCUUUUUCAGUGUGUGAAGGUGUUGGAAGAACACUAAAAGGGAGAGAUUUGAGUAGGGUGAGAAAUGCAAUAUUAAGUAAAACAGGGUUCCUUGAAUAACAUUAGAUCGAAUGAAUCGAUAGUGAAGAUUCAUAUAGUCGAUUCUGAUUUAUUUAUGAGGCAUAAUUAUUGUUAUUGUUGUAUUAUAAUCGUGUAGAUGACGUGGUGAUAGUUGAUGAUCGUAAGACAUCAACAAUAGGAUUUGAUUAGUAAUUGAAUUAAUAUGUUUAAUUA